CGAGUGCAAGGAAGGAUCUGAAGCAGAAGUUGAUGAUGAUCAAGAAAAUUAGCAGCAGCAGCAGCCUUUCGCAGUUUAUCAGAAGAUCCAGUAGUUUAGCAAGGGCAGCAUAUACAUGGGAGAAGAAGGGUAUGAAAUCGGAAUCGGGAUCGGAAUGGAAAUGGAAUUGGAAUUGAAUAAGGAGAAGACUGUAUACUUAUGUUUCUUUGAGUCGAGUCAAUGCGGUGCUGUUGAAUACCUGAAUCAAGUUAUUCGCCCCAGCAAAUUGAGCCAGGUUAAUAGUAAUGAUGAUGCUGAUGAUGAUAUUGCCGUGGAGUUGCGCAAAGCAGCUUAUAAGAGGUCCAAGGUUAAUUUAUGGUAUUCCAAUUGCAGUCGCUUCGGCUCCCAAAUUAUUGUCACCGGCGGCCGUAGAAGGCCCCCACCAAACAUUAUGGGUCCUGCUAUUGGCCGUAGAGAUAUUUAUUGGUUUGACACGACCUAGGGGAAAUUCCAGGUUUCCUCCCCAACGAAAACCAAAAUCAAGAGCUUCUCAACAGGUAAACAAGCCGUGCUGUUGGGGGAGCUGAACCGCAAACUCUAUUGCAUCGAGAACAACCCCUUUAGCAUGACUCCUCCCUCUCAGCCUUUUCAGGUAUUGGACCCCGAAAACGACCUCAAGUGGCGGUCUCUAGAAGCGCCUCCCUUUAUCCGCGGCCAAGAGUCGGAGGACUUCACUGCGUGUUUUUUGGAGGGGAGCAACAAAAUCUUAGGUUGGAUAUGGCAGCAGCGUGGAGUGUUUUGCUUUGAUGACACCAAGCCUGAAAAUGGAUGGAUAGAGUCACCUUCUUGUCUGGGAAACAGCCUUCCCUUUCUUGACCAUGGACAUUUCUUCGUUCGCCACCCUCAUCCCAUUCUUGGUGCUUUCAACAUAAUGUUUCACUAUCAUCCUGACAAUGCACCUCUCCUAGCUUGUAUCCACCUUUUUCAUGCCAAACAACUGUGAUUCUUUCCAUCCUAUCAACAAACCUCUUCAGCUGCCAGAAUUGUGUUAUGAAUUUCGAGAGGAUGAGUAUGAUGACACCUUCUCUACCGAUUUUCAAUUUGUCCAUCUCGGAGCUCAAAAAGUAUGCCUUGUUCUGCACAAAUUCUUCUUCCCAUCAACAUGGAAGGUUCAAUGUGGAAACAUGGGGAGUCUUCUUCUCAUAACAUUUGAAUAUGACGUUAUUAGUAAUACUACUGUCGACUCCAAAUCCACCUUGGAGAUCCAGACCCGAUUGCUCGGGACCCACCGCGGUCUAUACUUUACCAGGCAGCUGCGUAAACCAGAUUAUACAUGGACCAACACAUCAUACCUGACUGGUGCAUUUCUGAUCUAACCAUCUGAAAAUAGCAUCAAAGGAACUUCUGCUGAGGAUGACGAUCAGGAAGUAUGAAGAUCUUGUCUGGGAUUUCCCAAGUUGUUUUUGGUGACCGGCCGACUGGCAGGGUUUUAUCUCUUAGGCCAAGUUAUAUUACCAAUGUUUCUGUAGGAUAUGUUGUGUGUUGGAUUUUAUUAGGAGGCUGAACUGGUUAAUUUAUCUUGUACCGUUUCGUUAGGAGUGACCAUCCGGAGGGAUAAUAACUUAUGAACGGGGGUCAGUUGGAUGCUAUUUAAUAUAUUGGUAGUACUAUUAAUGAGUGAAGAUGAACUACUUUGCAGUUAGAUCA